UACGUAGGGGGCAAGCGUUGUCCGGAUUUAUUGGGCGUAAAGAGCGUGUAGGCGGUCAGGUAGGUCCGUUGUGAAAACUCGAGGCUCAACCUCGAGACGCCGAUGGAAACCAUUUGGCUAGAGUCCGGAAGAGGAGAGUGGAAUUCCUGGUGUAGCGGUGAAAUGCGCAGAUAUCAGGAAGAACACCCGUGGCUAAGGCGGGUCUCUGGGCCAUUACUGACGCUGAGGAGCGAAAGCGUGGGGAGCGAACAGG
rnacentral:rRNA from 1 species